rnacentral:rRNA from 1 species
AUUGAACGCUGGCGGCAUGCCUAACACAUGCAAGUCGAACGGCAGCACAGUAUGUAGCAAUACAUAUGGGUGGCGAGUGGCGGAUGGGUGAGUAACGCGUGGGAAUCUGCCCUAUAGUGGGGGACAACCCGACGAAAGUCGGGCUAAUACCGCAUACGCCCUACGGGGAAAGGCUUCGGCCGCUAUUGGAUGAGCCCGCGUCGGAUUAGCUAGUUGGUGAGGUAAUGGCUCACCAAGGCGACGAUCCGUAGCUGGUCUGAGAGGACGAUCAGCCACACUGGGACUGAGACACGGCCCAGACUCCUACGGGAGGCAGCAGUGGGAAUAUUGCACAAUGGGCGAAAGCCUGAUGCAGCAAUGCCGCGUGUGUGAAGAAGGCCUGCGGGUUGUAAAGCACUUUCGGUAGGGAAGAUAAUGACGGUACCUACAGAAGAAGCACCGGCUAACUCCGUGCCAGCAGCCGCGGUAAU